CAGCAGCCGCGGUAAUACGUAGGUGGCAAGCGUUGUCCGGAAUUAUUGGGCGUAAAGCGCGCGCAGGUGGUUUAAUAAGUCUGAUGUGAAAGCCCACGGCUCAACCGUGGAGGGUCAUUGGAAACUGUUAAACUUGAGUGCAGGAGAGAAAAGUGGAAUUCCUAGUGUAGCGGUGAAAUGCGUAGAGAUUAGGAGGAACGCCAGUGGCGAAGGCGGCUUUUUGGCCUGUAACUGACACUGAGGCGCGAAAGCGUGGGGAGCAAACAGGAUUAGAUACCCGGGUAGUCCCUGUCUCUUAUAC
rnacentral:rRNA from 1 species